GUGCCAAAAUGUUCCUCUAGCUUGGUGGGCUUGCAAAGUGACACAUCCAAUUGAGAUGCUUGGCAAGCUGCGUGUGGAAAGUUUUCACAUCUUGUCAUCCUUGUUUUAAGGAGUCUUCCCUGUCAGCACAGAAAAGAAAGGAGACACAAUCGUUGGAGACAAGGAACCUUGAGCCAAAGUGCAGUGAUAAGGAAAUUUUGGCAAAACAAUGGAAAUGCCUUAAGAAGAAAUAAAUCUCCUACUCU
rnacentral:lncRNA from 1 species